CCACGGUCAUGUUCCCCUGAUGAAGUUUCAGAAAAUCAUCACCCAGUUUAGUCCUGGUACUCAUCGGGAAGUAUUUGUCUAAAAACUUCCUUUUGAAUGAUUCCCAGUUCACCUCCUCAUGAGCUGAUCCCAUCAAUAACCUUGCACUCCUCCACCAGUACUCAACAUCCCCCAAUAGCAUAUAAGUGGCAUAGUUGACCUUCACUCCCG
rnacentral:lncRNA from 1 species